GAGAAAGUAGUUUAAUUAAAAUUUUCGGUUUCGGCUCGUUUGUUUUUGGUUUGAAUCCAAACUUUCUUU
rnacentral:tRNA from 1 species